rnacentral:rRNA from 1 species
GAUGAACGCUAGCUACAGGCUUAACACAUGCAAGUCGAGGGACCGGCGCACGGGUGAGUCACACGUAUCCAACCUGCCCUUUACUCGGGGAUAGCCUUUCGAAAGAACUAUUAAUACCCGAUUUAACUGAUGUGGAUGCGUUCCAUUAGGUUGUUGGUGAGGUAACAGCUCACCAAGCCUUCGAUGGAUAGGGGUUAUGAGAGGCAGGUCACCCACAUUGGAACUGAGACACGGUCCAAACGCCGACUGGAGGCAGCAGUGAGGAAGAUUGGUGAAUGAGCGUUAGCCUGAACCAGCCAAGUAGCGGGAAGGAUGAAGGAUUAUGGGUCGUAAACUUCUUUUAUAUAAGAAUAUGUAUUAUAUGAAUAAGGAUCGGCUAACUCCGUGCCAGCAGCCGCGGUAAUAC